CCUUGUCACCAUGCUGGAGGGCUUCACGGGGGAACGGAUGUGAUGAUAGCAAAGGGGUUGAGCGAAACACUGGCAGGUGCCCACUUCCUGGCUCUACUUACUUCUUGCCAUUCGUCUGCCCUCCAAGCGUAGAGUGGACACGGCGGGGCUUGGCAGGCGCGCUCUGACUCCGGUCUAGUGUAUGGGUUGCACUCGGUCUCUCCGGCUAUUUUGUGUGUUCCCAGCUGACAGCCCACAUUUCUCCGCCGCACGCCUUGGCCACAGGACACAGAGCACUAAAAGGACAAGAAGGAGAAGCUCUCAUUUUCCCAGUCCAUUGGAAAGGAGGUGAAAAAGGCAUGUUAGAAACUGAAAGGGUUGUCCUGCAUCGGUUCUUUCCCUUAUACUGAGGGGCUGGGUCUCUCAGUCAACCGAGAAGCCAGCAAACAACCCCAGUGUGUCUGCCUGGAUGAGAAGGGGUGAAGACCUAGAAAGAAUGAGAUCCCCAGCAUUGCCGAGGCUGCUGAGAACCUGGACAUCCAAAUGGAGAUGGGAGGACCACACGGAAUUGCUCGUCUUGAUUCUACUCUCAUUUUGACUUUGUUUAAGAAAGGCAGACCUCAUCUGGAAAGUAUGAUAUCAGAAAGGAGGCAAUGCUCAUGCCGCCCAUGGUUCAGAACUGCCUUUGCCAGUUAUAAUGACAAGUGAAGUGAGUACUGCAUGAACAUCGCACAAUCAGAAAAGGUAAAGGGAUUCCAGCCUGUACCCACUGUUCCACCGGUGGGGCAAAAAAAAGAAUGUUGAGUGCAAAGAUACAGACUUAGGGAUCAAAGUUUCAAAUCUGCUCAGUGCAAGACCUGGAAAACCAUGUGGGCUCGUCACAUAGAAAAAAGAUAGUAGCUGCAAUCCACAUAUGUUUAGUACUGCUUUCCACACUGUAGGCACUGAGCAAGUAUUUAUGGGAAUGAAUGAAUACAUGAAAGCUAUAGCCAUCAUAGAAGUGUACUAUAAACCAAAUGUCAUGUUUUCCUAAAGGUUUCAAGAAAGAACCACCUGGAAUCUGACCCCCAGUGCUAAUGCUGAACUGAUUUGGCAGUUACUGAAAUUCAAAGAGGCCACCCCAAGAGCACUCUUUCAGUUGGAGCAGAGCUAUUAGAAAUCACACCAUGAGCGCUUACUGUGAGUGGGACCCUAAGCUGAAGGCUACUGGCUUCUCCUAUUUAAUCCCUACAGCAACCUUGUGGCUCAGGUACUAUUAGGCUUCCUCUUUACAAAUAAGGAGACUGAGGAUUAAAGAGGUGACCUCACUUGCCCAGGGUCACAGAGCCAGGAAGCAAGCAGAGUUAGCCUUCACAUAUAGCAUGUGUUUUUCCAGAACCGCCAUUUUCUUCCCUAAGUUAUACUGAAGAGAGGGCCUGGUUAAGAAAACAGGCUGCUGACCUCUGCUUACCCGUGGUGAUAACAGAAAACUAGGACUUUAAAGAAAUGUCCCUUAAGACUAUUUUAGAGACCUCUGUGACUCCUUUGUCUCCCAGGAAGAGGAUGGUUACACAAUCUAUUUCUGACUUUAAUGCUUUCUUCACAACCUCUUUAGCACCCUGGGAAGAAAGACGCUAUGAAAAGUAAAUAUACCAUCAUGUACAAUCACAUAAAUAUAAAUAAAGAGC